GCUAGACAUAGCAGUAAUGCAGUUAACACAUUAAGUGUGCCGCCUGGGGAGUACGGUCGCAAGAUUAAAACUCAAAGGAAUAGACGGGGACCCGCACAAGCGGUGGAGCAUGUGGUUUAAUUCGACGAUACGCGAAGAACCUUACCUGGACUUGACAUAGAAAGAAUUACGCAGAGAUGUAUAAGUGCUAGCUUGCUAGAACUUUCAUACAGGUGCUGCACGGCUGUCGUCAGCUCGUGUCGUGAGAUGUUGGGUUAAGUCCCGCAACGAGCGCAACCCUCGUGUUUAGUUGCUAACAGUUCGGCUGAGAACUCUAAACAGACUGCCUGGGUAACCAGGAGGAAGGUGAGGACGACGUCAAGUCAUCAUGGCCCUUAUGUCCAGGGCUACACACGUGCUACAAUGGGGCAUACAAAGAGCAGCAAUACCGCGAGGUGGAGCAAAUCUUAAAAAUGUCUCCCAGUUCGGAUAGCACUCUGCAACUCGAGUGCUUGAAGUUGGAAUCGCUAGUAAUCGUAGAUCAGCAAUGCUACGGUGAAUACGUUCCCGGGUCUUGUACUCACCGCCCGUCACACCAUGGGAAUUGAAUUCAUUCGAAGCGGGGAUGCUAAAAUAGCUACCUUCCACAGUGGAUUUAGUAACUGGGGUGAAGUCGUAACAAGGUAGCCG
rnacentral:rRNA from 1 species